ACACUGGCCGCAAUGGCCGCACUACAAGUCGCGCGCCGCCGACGCCGCCACGAAAGGAAAGGGAGGCAGGAAGUUAUUUGCGCGGGAAAGAAGCUGGGCACCUUUUCGAGGAGAUGUGCGAAUUAGCAUUUAAGCAAUCCAGUACAACCUCCAGCUCUACACCUCCUUGCCGUAAGGUUGCCAGUAAAACUGUAUAAAAGGAACCUGAGCCUGAAGGUUUCAGGCGGCACACCUUGGAAAUUCUACACAUGAUCCGGCUGAGGCUUGAUAACCUGAAUGCCCUGAUGGGCACUGUGUUAGAAGCUGUGAACAAGCACAAGGAGGACGACGACAACUUCCCCGUUCAGGAGCCAACUGCAAGCUACAACACCUUCAUGGAAUCUGAGUGCCAACUACAGGCUAGCGAAGCCAUGAGAAAAAAAGCUGGUAAAUUGGUUCGUGGGACUCGGAGGGAAGACUGUAGGGGCCACUACUCGUCGACUGCUGGAAGCUCUAAUGACCCAAAACGUUGUGGUGAAUUUCAGCUGGAAAGGGCAAAAGGGCAAGGCGAAAUUCCAACAACUGCAGUGUGUUGAGCUCAUUUACCAGGCUGUAAAAAGAAACCCCCGUAUCACAACGACACGUCACGACAUUGAAGAGGUAAUCAAGACGUGGCUACGACACGCGGCGGAGAAGCUCAGGAAGCUUGAGGAAUCUGGUCUUGGCAACAUCCCCUAACUUUUUAUGAGCAUCUAUAUCCAUGUAUAGUGUGCAUCUUCUUUAAUUCAUGCUUAUUUUUUUUCUUUUCAAGCCCAUCUUCAGGUAGUACUUGUUUGACCCGCAGCCACAAUUACACCACAGAACAAGUUUUGUUAGUUUGUCAUUAUCAUUUCCAGUUAUUUUAGUGUUCAAAUUCUAGUAUCUUUAUCUAAUAUUUUUUUCUCAUUAUUUAUAAUGAAUGCCUCUUGUCUGCAGCUAAAUGAGAACUUGUUAGACCAGCAGCUACAAUUGCACAACACGAGAAGUGAUUAUCAUUUCGUUAUUUUAUUUUUCAAUUUUAGUACCCUCGUCUUGUUUGAUUUUUAUAGUUUCCAGUCAUUUUGCUUAGGAGCCCUGACAAGCCCAAAUUCAUACUUUCUUUGUCUAAA